CCUCUACUAAAAUACGAAAUUUUGCCAUAUCAACAUCAUUUUAACAUGGUAUGGUAAAAAAGACAAUAAAUAAUAACGUAAGUUAGAAGUUUCACAUUUACAGCAGUAUUACCAAAAUUAAAUCCUCAUACUGUAGCUGCUGUCAUGCAGCAAGUUUAUUUCCCAACAAAUCUGAACUCUUGCCUACUGUUGAAUUGUGUUUGCUGUAUUUCAGAUCUUUUGUUGUUCUCCAAAGCCUUGUCAGUCCUGAGCACUGAAGCCAACUGUGAUAUAUUUUAAUAAUCUCCAAACAGUGGAGCGUAGGUGCAUCAAAAGGAUUAUUGCUACACCAAAUAUGUUAACGCGCACAGCUUGGAAGGGUAAAAAAUGCAAUGAGUAGGAGGAUCAAUUAUGAGCUUGUGCUCAUGUGAUUUUGAGGUUCAAGGAGUCUUAUUUCUACCAGAACAGGAGAUAAAUAUAAAGAGGGUCCAGAAUAUGCUAUUAAAGAUAAGUAGUUUGUUGGGAAGACACACCACAUUGACUAUUUGAAGCUAGAGACCUUAGCUGGAGUGUUAAAGGGUGUGUGAAAGUUCUCAGAAAUGGAAAAUAAAAGUUUUAAUUGUGAUUUUAGAUGUUUAGCUGCUUAAAACAUGAUUUACUUUGCAGUAGUUCCAUAAACGUUUCAGUCUCUUUAGAUUAAGCCAAAUCCAUAUAUGAUUUAGUUAAUGCUUCUUCAGUUACACUGGGGGGUGUAACUGUUUUUAUACAACAGUUAAGGACCAUCUUUAACACCAGCCCUUUUUACAAUUGGAACUGCUUUGACCAACAAAUCCUCACAUAUGCUUUUGCUAACUUCUCUAUUUUUCACCUAUUGAAAUAGGUGAGGGAAGUCGGUGUGUGUUUGGGCUCUAAUUGUGUAGCCUAUGUUUGUAGGUUCCACUCUAAAAACUACAUCCAGAAAAAAAGAUGUGGGAGGAUUUAUUCAUCAUUUACAUAUGUCUUUGUAGUCAGAUGUUGUGUGGCACAGGCCUGGAAAAGCAACUUACUUUAUUACUGCCAACUUGUGGUAUUAUACAGUACUUUGUGAGGUUUUUUCGGUCAUUGUUUUUGCUUUUUUCCUGCGAGCAUGUUCUAUUGGUGGGCUGCGCUGCGCUGCUGCCUUCGCCGCACCUGUGAUGGAUCAGGCUUGUUAAGGAGGUUUAAAAGGUGCCUCCUGGAACUCCUGACUGCCUAACCUCUCCUGAUCGCCUCUGAGAGGACUGACUCGGGCUCACUCCCGUGGAACUCCCACACUUCCGAAUCUCAGCUGGCACCGGUACAACCCGGUUGCCAUACCUUCUUGUUGACUAGCUUGUCCAUCCUCCAACGAACCGCUCUGUGCCUCUAGUGCUCUGCUGGACCACCACCCCCCUGGAUUCCAUACCCCCUCCCGGAGUGAAUCAUCGCCCUCACCACCUUUGCUACUUCCGUUUGAACAAUCUACUUCGACCCGCAAUGAAUCAUGGUAUAGAGUGGGCCACGGAGGAUCCACCGGACCCAUCCUUUGAAUCUGGGUAAAAGAUGGAUGCAUUUGUUUGGCCGCAUUUGGAGAAGCCUUCGAACUUGGAUAAUCUUCAUCGGCUCACCAUGACGUAAUCGGCUUACAGAUAGCAUACAGCAAUAAUGAAUGACAUCUGUGAAUCAGUUAAUCUGUGUUUGAUUAAUCUGUGGCCUCAAUGACCCAGAUGUGUGAAACCAAAAACAAAAGAUUUUAUUGAAAUUCAAUUUUAGAACGGAAACUGAAAGAAGUCAAACUGAGUUUUCAAUGAAAUACUUCUGUUCUUCUAAUUUAGUUUCAAACCAUUAAAUUCAGUUUAUUGAAAUUAAUUUUCAAACCAAUGCAUUUCAUUUCAAUUCACGCAAACACAUAUUCAGUCUGAGCAAUUCAAAUCCAGUUUUUGGUGGCACAAGUUUCUGCAAAUAUCAUUCCAACUGUACCAACUGUACUUUUAAAAGUCUGCAAUAUAUAUUUUUGAAUUGAUUUUAACAGUGUGAUUGAAAUUUGUCAUUCUUACCUAGUGUUUAGUAAAUAUUUUAUACAAAGAUUGUUAUUUUUAGUGUAUAAAUUUGAUUCUUUUUGUAGUGUUUUUGGA